CUGGCAUAAGUCACUCACUUGGGAGAAGAAGUACCAAUUCUUAGGUAACGUCAGUGGAAAUUGAGUAGGGGUUUUCGUGAAGAAACCUUGGAGGCGUCAGCCACAAGCAGCCAUGGACAGCUGCUGGGGAUAUAGGUCUUGUCCCAUAAUCAGCAGGAUUAAGGUCCGUGGGAAUAUAAUGCCAUUGCUUUGGCAGAGAGAACCUUCUGAUACAUUCUACUCGAUUACUGACGUACACGUAAAAUUGUUUGGUUUGGUUGUAGAUGUAUCCAAGCACUAUCUUACUGUCUGUGUAAAAUGUGAAGGAAUCGAUUUUAAUGUCCAUUUCACUCUUUAUGACUUCGGC